rnacentral:rRNA from 1 species
GUCCACGCCGUAAACGUUGGGAACUAGAUGUGGGGCCAUUCCACGGCUUCCGUGUCGCAGCUAACGCAUUAAGUUCCCCGCCUGGGGAGUACGGCCGCAAGGCUAAAACUCAAAGGAAUUGACGGGGCCCGCACAAGCGGCGGAGCAUGCGGAUUAAUUCGAUGCAACGCGAAGAACCUUACCAAGGCUUGACAUAUACGAGAACGCUUCAGAAAUGAAGAACUCUUUGGACACUCGUAUACAGGUGGUGCAUGGUUGUCGU